rnacentral:tRNA from 1 species
GCGCCCGUAGCUCAACCGGAUAGAGCACUAGCCUUCUAAGCUAGGGGUUGUGAGUUCGAGUCUCGCCGGGCGCGCCA